rnacentral:sRNA from 1 species
GCAAUAGAAUAGGUUUAUCUCAAGGGUGGUCGGCACAUUCCCUAUUGAAAGGGGGUGAUGCUGAAUGACGGUUUUUGAAACCUUAAUGUUUACGGUUGCUUUUACAAGCUUAAUCGUAGCAGUACUGUCAUUUAACCAAAAAAAAUAACCCACCCUUGAGUUAGAGGCUCAGGUGAGUUAUCCCGCCAAUAUAGCCGAUCCACUAGGGAACGUCUAUUGCUAGACCGGACAUGUUACCAGCAUGUUCG